AUCACUUAUAACCAACACGUCUGAGGCGCAGCGAUUAACCUGCGUCUUCUGUCAGCGACAUGUGAUUUCACCCUCUACAGACCACCGUCCUGUCCUUUUAACAGUUUACUCUCUCUCACAAACACACACACACACACUCACACACACCUACGGCAGCUCAAACAAUCAGAAAAAAACACCUAUAUGCUUCUUAUGUUCUUCACCUGUAGUUGAUGUAAGAGCUGUUAGUCUCCAGAAAAGGAACAGAGACAGACAGACAAAGGCCAGAUCUCCUGUUGGAUUUUAGUCCAUCUGCUGAACCGAGCUGUUCUGCAGUACAUUCCUGGAUCGUCAUGUCAGGACCUUGUAAUCUCUCAGAUCUCACCAUGUGUCACCAACCUCCAGAUACAGUGUUCAGGUGUUUGUUCAGUUCCAUACCAUUUUAAAACUGAACUGAAACUCACUCGUGUCAUGACGUCUGCCUCUGUGCCCCACACCACCCCACUGCUACUGUUCCUCCACAAACGUCCUGUAGCUACUGCAUGAGAUUUAAAACACUGAUGUUCAUCCAUAAAGCCAAAAAAGUUUUAAAAAUAAAAAAGUACUACCAAACCAAAAGCUUUUAGACUGAAGUGUUAUAUGA